rfam:Hordeum vulgare subsp. vulgare, WGS project CAJW01000000 data, contig: morex_contig_1590454
UAUAUACUCACUCCGUCCCAAAAUUCUUGUCUUAGAUUUUUCUAAAUUUGAGUGUAUCUAUUUAUAUUUUAGUAUUUUGAUACAUCCAUUUUUAGAUAAAUCUAAGACAAAAAAUUUGAAACGGAGGGAGUAUUUG